GAGGGAAGAUUAAGCCACCCCUGGGAUGGAGACCCCGGCCCCAGAUUCUUAUCGGGAGGCAGCAAUUGGGGAAUUUUGCCCCAAUGGCGCCAAGCCUGAUGCAGCCAUGCCGCGGGUAUGAAGAAGGCCCUUAGGGUUGUAAAGUACUUUCAGUCGGGGGGAAGGCGCUGAUGCUUAUAUUCAUCAGCGAUUGACGUUACCGACAGAAGAAGCACCGGCUAACUCCGUGCCAGCAGCCGCGGUAAUACGGAGGGUGCAAGCGUUAAUCGGAAUUACUGGGCGUAAAGCGCACGCAGGCGGUUGAUUAAGUUAGAUGUGAAAUCCCCGGGCUUAACCUGGGAAUGGCAUCUAAGACUGGUCAGCUAGAGUCUUGUAGAGGGGGGUAGAAUUCCAUGUGUAGCGGUGAAAUGCGUAGAGAUGUGGAGGAAUACCGGUGGCGAAGGCGGCCCCCUGGACAAAGACUGACGCUCAGGUGCGA
rnacentral:rRNA from 1 species